CAGAGAUCAUGGACAGACAAUUAGGAAGAACCAUGCUGCUAAUCAAAAUGAAAAGGACCUGAUUAUGUUUCUCAUAAACAAUUGUGUUUUAGGGAUAUAAUGCAAAAAAGUCAGAAAAAACCAAAACAAACUAAUUUUUGUCUUGUGGCUCACAAAACUUGCAUGAAAAAGACUUUUAUGUGUGUGAAACUGCCAAACUGGAGCCAGGGUCGGAACUCUCCAGGGGAUGAAUAUUGAGCAGAAGAGAGAAAUGAAACAGCCAAGCUACUACACUGAGAGACAUAUGUGCUGUACUUACACAUUUACCAUGUUCAAAAGACUUUCUGGUAUAUAGCUGCUCUCUUGAAAAUUAUCUACAUGGUUGUCUGGAGUUAUAACAUAUCUGCAGGAUUCAUUUUAGCCUGCCAGGUAAAUUAUAUAGCAUUGCAAAGAAGUUUAUAAAUUAGUAUUUAUCCUUUAGAUGGAAACCACUUUGGAGGAGCUCUACUAGCCUAAUGGGUAAAUGACAAGCUGUUCAAAAUCUGUUUGUAUGUAUAUGCCCAGGACAGCAAAGCAGCCUUUCUGAAGUAAGGUGUAUAUUUUUUUAAUCAUUCAUAUUUCUUUUAAUUAAAAAAAACCCAAGUCAAACUAAACCAAUAAAUUAUCUUGAAACAUCAUCACAUAUAAAGCCAAGAAAUUUGAAGUUAUGACUGCCACUGAUCCUAAUCCAUGCAGCCAGCAGACAUUAGCCUAAUCAACCACCUCACUGCUACCAUCUCAAUUAUCUGAAAUCUUUUAUUUCAGUGAGUAACAUGUGCUUGAGUUAAUCAGGCAUGCCACACUGGCAAAUCCUCCUGCCUGUCCUCUCCACUCCUGUAGAAGUCGGCAGACAGACAUCAAGCAAUGCUCCUGGGGAAAGAUUGGCUUCUUUGUGGCAGAAACUGUAAAUAGUUCCUCCAACUUCAAAAGAAUUAGCUGUGUUUCAUAGCAGUAUUUUUGCAGAGAUUUUGGUCUUUUAUCUUAGAAUGGAGAGUUAUGCAUUUUGGUAAGAAAUAACUAGGACUAUUUAACUCUUCUCCCAUUUCAUUUUCCCAGGUGUAUCUGUUUGAUCCGUUUUUCAUAUUUAAGUAUGUAGUGUGUGUUUUAUGUUGAGGCAGAACUACAUUAUUAAAGGAUGUUAGGAUAAAACUAGCAUCAGAAACGAAGGAGACAAAUAUACUUUAAUUAUCCUGUAAAGGGUAUGAAGGGAAUAUCUACAAAUACAUGCAGGAAUAAGGCUGUCUAAAAAGUGCAUUAAGGUUUGAUGAUAACAUUGCUGAUAUCAAAGGAAAUUGCUCAAGUUUAUGUUGGUGAACGCUGUAUUUGAUGCUUGUUUUGCAGACUCCAAAAGAUGUCAGGAUAGAGCUCUUGCACCUUGGUGCCUGUGGGAAACCCUCCAGACCCUGCAGAUUCGGCAGCAGGUGCAAGCGGUGAGGACACCAGCUCCAGUCAGUGACCUCCCUCUUCAUCCCUCCUGCUGUCCCCAGUGCUGUUCCAUCAGGAUUCUCCAGCUUGGCUUGAAAACUCUGUGAAAUCCAUCGUGUAACAGGCAAGGCUCUGGAGCAACUUCUGCAGAGUCCUACUGCUCUGAGUCCUCGCAACGUCUAUGGGGCUCUCCUGGUUUGGAGCAGGGGUGGUUGGCCAGAACCAAGGUUCAUCCUUCUGCAAUACCAAACAGACUGUGAAAAAGAGAAUUAAUUCAUUAGCCCAAGAUAUUUAUGAAGUUCUCUAAGCUUCCAAUUCUUGGACUGCAGCCUGAAGGAGUCACAUCGCCUUGAAGCCACCGCACGGUCAUGAAAAGCAGCUGAAAACAUAACUCGGCUUCCUCAGAGAGCACCUGGCUGUGGGACAAGCUGCAGUCUUUCCCUCACCCCGAGGAGACUACAAAGAGCCUGACUUUCCAUCCCUGUUUGAGGAGGGUAGAGCAAGGCUGGGCUGCCUGGGGGGCUGCAGCUACACAUCUCCUGUGCCUCCUCUUCCUCUUGCUCGGAGGGGAUGAGGGCUCAUGGGCCGACUCAGUGGUUUGUCAACCCUUCUCCUUGGAAAGGACCUGCACAUCCAAACACCUGGGACCUAAAACCUCACCCGCCUCACGAGGACGGCGAUAUCACUUCCAUGGGGUAAAGGCAUGGGGAUAGGCUUUGGCACAGUGGGUCGGAGGGUGAACGCAGGACCCAGCACCUUGUGAGCUGCUUGAACCGAUCCGUGAUGCUCAUGGCACCGGGGAGAAGGAGACAUCCUGCGAUGCUUUGCCCGGGCUCGGGCUGAGGUGAAGCACUGGUGAGCCCAGUGACUGCUGCACACGUUAGCAAGUAACUCCCUGGCUGGUUCAUUAUGUCAGAGUCCCUCUCAACUUUAACUGCUCUAAAUGAAGAGAGGUUUUGCGCCACUUAGAUGUUAAAGGGAAGGAACUCUAUCCUGCCCCUACACACGCAAGCACAAGAGGAAAAAAGGAAGGUAAAUGAUAAGGGAAAGGCAACCUUGACUCUGGUGUGACUUCAGAGAGCUGGAGGAGAUGGGAAUAUAUUAUAAUUGGAGGUGGAUCAGGCACCGGAGGAAUCACAGGGAGUGGGAAGGGGAUGGGGUGGGAGUGGGGACUCACAGCCCAGCUUCUCUUCAAAUAACCAAAGCUAAAGCCCAGCAAGUGCGGGGCCACUCCUUAAGCAUCCCCUUAAGCCUGGCCCAGGUUUCACUGCCUGCAGUAGCAGAGUGGCAGCUAUAGAUAUUUCUUUUUCUUCUCCUGCGACAUCAAUCAGAACGAGCCGGCUUUUGCAUGGGGACGGGAAGGGGGAAGAGGCAGAGAGAGAGAAGAGGGGAAAAAAAAUAAGCAGAAGUAAUUUAUUCGGGAUCUUUGAGAGGAUAAUAGCCAAUUAUUUGUUUAUAACACUGGUUAAAUUUUCAUUAGGCAGAUUAAUGGAAUAUCAUGUACUGUCAACAUUGGACUGAGGGGUGGUCUGUAAGAGAUAAACGGGCAAACAGUCGAUGUGUCUCCCUGAGUAAAUUAGUUUUUGCUUUCCUGUUUUUCAUAUGAAAAUGGAAAGGUGGACAAGGUGGUGCAUUUUAAAACAGGUCUCAAGAUGGGCCAAAUCAGUUAAAUAUGAAAGCAAUUCCGGUAAUAAAUACAUUAUAAUAACUUAGCAUCGUGCCUAUCAUUUUGAUUUCAUGAAAGUCUGGGAUAAUGUAGAUUUUUAACCUGCUCUCUUAAUACACAUUUCCUCUUCCUGAACUUCAGCGUUCCUUGCUGUGAGGUGAAAGCAUAUUACUUUUUUUUGCCUGAUUUUUCUGUGUAAUCUGUUCAGUAUUACAGCUGGUAAGUGCUAGAGGCUCACAGCUCUUUCUUGUGAAUUCUGGUAUUAUCAUACUGGAUAGCAUGAGCAGUCCCCUCUAAGUACUGUAUUAUCAGCAUCAGAACCCCUGAGUGGUUAUGGUUGCAUAUCCUCCUCUUUUGAAGUCAGAAUAUUUCUUAAUGUAUUAGCCUGGGAUUCUCAGACAAGACACGCAGAGGCAGACACCCAAAUUUCAGUGGGAGUCAGGCCCAUAAGUCCACUUAACGUCUUUGAGAAUCUCAAGACAUUGCAUAGACGAGCAAAGCUGUGCAGGGGGUCUCAUCAGCCUCAUCACCUAAAUUGGCCUUCACGGAUCUGCUGCUCUCAGUGCUGCGCGGGCAGGUGGAGAAGAGAGGUCUUCUCCAAUUUAAAUCUUGCCUACUUCCAUGAAGAAGCUUAUAAUUACACCAAUAUCUAAGUGGUGUAAAUGAGAUUAGAACAGAUCCCUGACAGCAAUGCCCUGUGCACUACACCAAGUGCUGCCAUGAAGUAUAUUUUCUAAUUUCCUUUCUAUUUUUGACUGAAAGUUGUUCCUGUGAUGCAGGAUCUGUGUUGGCAUCUUUAAGGAGUUAAAAUGUCUGCCAGCGAAGUUAUGGACAUCUAUAAUGAAUAGGGUUUUCUGUAGUACUCACCAGUGCAGAAAGAAUAGCACUAAUAAUGCAAGUAAAUUCACAUCUUGCAAAUGUAUUUCUAUUUCAUCUUGGAAGUGACUCUGUUCGCUCAUCAAUCUUGCUUUGGUUUAAAAAAAAAAAAAUAAUAAUAAUUAAUAUUCUAGCAAGUCCUCUCCAUGGAAUGUUAUUAAUCAUUUUCAAUGUAAACUCAAUGUUGUAAGAACUGAUAGGCUCUAUUUUUCUUGCAUGAAUUUAAGAGAUGUGAAUUUUGGAGGGAAAGAACAGAAAGAAUUAGUAUGUACUUGACUUAAAAUGCUGUGAAGUCUGAAGUCCAUACUGGAAACAAUUUCUAAGAGGCAUGGUAGCAACUAGCAAAGGUGUUACUCCAAAAUUGCCACCAGCAGUUUUGUUAUAGUUCCACUGAAGAAAAAUAUUCACUAAGAAAGGAAUUAGUUAUCUUCCUGUAUCCAUCCAGAUAUUCUCCAUUUGUGUGAGUGGAAGAUACAAGUGUGUGUAUAUGGAGGCAUCUUUUUUUCCCAACAAAUAGUCCAUAUGAUAAGCUCAUAAGGGUUUUGUGGAAUAUUUGUAUCUCCCUUGCUUGCUGUGAGCCAGAUACCUCUCACAAGGGAUAUAAUUAGGAAAAAGCAUCAAAGUAGACAUAUUUUUAGCGAGUGUCUUUCUUUCCCACAGCAUUCUUCCAAAACCUUCUAUUUGAAAAAGAAAUAUGAAAAAAAUCCCACCCAUAAAGAUGAGGCAAAAUGUGAGAUUCAAUUUGUGCACACAGAUAUCUGCCAUUUCAGAAGACAGCAAGUUUCCACUCCCCUAAACGAACAGGCCUGCUUUCACUGAACAACUAAUGAAGCUGACCCUCUGUUAACUAUAAAAGGAGCCUCAGUUUAGUUGUGUUUUUUAAUCAUGUUAAUGCAAUUUAUCUACCGCAUAGGGAGACUAAUCUCCACAUUUCAAUACAUUAGUUAAAAUGAGGAGGUUU